CCUACGGGCGGCAGCAGUGAGGAAUAUUGGUCAAUGGACGAGAGUCUGAACCAGCCAAGUAGCGUGAAGGAUGACUGCCCUAUGGGUUGUAAACUUCUUUUAUAAAGGAAUAAAACGAGGCACGUGUGCCUUUUUGCAUGUACUUUAUGAAUAAGGAUCGGCUAACUCCGUGCCAGCAGCCGCGGUAAUACGGAGGAUCCGAGCGUUAUCCGGAUUUAUUGGGUUUAAAGGGAGCGUAGAUGGGUUGUUAAGUCAGUUGUGAAAGUUUGCGGCUCAACCUUAAAAUUGCAAUUGAUACUGGCAGUCGUGAGUACAGUUGAGGUAAGCGGAAUGCGUGGUGUAGCGGUGAAAUGCUUAGAUAUCACGAAGAACCCCGAUUGCGAAGGCAGCUUACUAAACUGUGACUGACAUUGAUGCUCGAAAGUGUGGGUAUCAAACAGGAUUAGAUACCCGAGUAGUC
rnacentral:rRNA from 1 species